rnacentral:lncRNA from 1 species
UGUGCACUACUUCAUCCUAUCAGCGGCAGGAUAGAGUUAGUUCUUUUUGAAAUUCAAUAUUGAUAGAUUCUUUCUCUGUUAUGCCAGAAGUUUUUUAUUUUUUAUUUUUAUUUUUUUAUGAUAGAGUUGGAUGGAUUUUUUCCCUCCUUUUACAUUAAAAAAAAAAAAAUUCUUAACAGAGUGUACCCGUACGAGUAUUCUUCCGGUUGCACCCUUACUGAAAUGAGGGUGACG